rnacentral:rRNA from 1 species
CCUACGGGACGCAGCAGUGGGGAAUAUUGCACAAUGGGCGCAAGCCUGAUGCAGCCAUGCCGCGUGUAUGAAGAAGGCCUUCGGGUUGUAUAGUACUUUCAGCGGGGAGGAAGGCGAUAAGGUUAAUAACCUUGUCGAUUGGCGUUACCCGCAGAAGAAGCACUGGCUAACUCCGUGCCAGCAGCCGCGGUAAUACGGAGGGUGCAAGCGUUAAUCGGAAUUACUGGGCGUAAAGCGCACGCAGGCGGUCUGUCCAGUCGGAUGUGAAACCCCCGGGCUCAACCUGGGAACUGCAUUCGAAACUGGCAGGCUAGAGUCUUGUAGAGGGGGGUAGAAUUCCAGGUGUAGCGGUGAAAUGCGUAGAGAUCUGGAGGAAUACCGGUGGCGAAGGCGGCCCCCUGGACAAAGACUGACGCUCAGGUGCGAAAGCGUGGGGAGCAAACAGGAUUAGAUACCCGAGUAGUC